CAGGGGAAGAAAAGUACUUGGUGAUCUCAGCGAAAGAUGUCUUUAACUGCUAAGCUGCUUUUUCCAACUGGCAGAAGCCCUUGAGAAGAGUUUAUUAAGAAUGAAGGAAAAAAAUAAUCCCUGUGUAGUUUACACAACUGUUCCUAAAAUUCAUCCCCCACCCAUGCAUUAAGCAGUACCAUGUGCCGAGAGCCGUUCUCAGCCUGGGGGUACAGCCCUAAACAAGUGCCCACCGUCCCGGCCCUUUGGAAGCUGCAUUCCACGGGGACAUCUGCAGACCACAGGGAAUGAUGUACGCCUUGAACCGAACCAGUCAGAAGAAAAAGGAGGUGGUUGACUUUGAGUUGAGUUAUUUUCCAACCUCAAGCCUUCAACAUCACUUACCCUGUCUCAUAAGGGAAACCUGGCUGUCCUCAAAACCAGCAUUCAAGAUUUAAAAUAAAUGUUAAAAACAAAA
rnacentral:lncRNA from 1 species